CUUCGGUACAAGCCGUAGAAUUGUAAUCUAUAGAACAAAUCCGAAGGGUGAAAUCUUGCAUAAGUGCUUUGGAAAAAGCUGUCAAAGAGGGUGAAAACCCCGUAGUUGGCAAGAUGGAUCUGUAGGAGAUGUUUCAACGAGUCAGGUUGUUUGGGACUGCAGCCUAAAGUGGGAGAUAGACUUCUUCUAAAGCUAAAUAUUUAUGGGAAACCGAUAGCGAACAAGUACUGCGAAGGAAAGAUGAAAAGAACUUUGAAAAGAGGGUUAAAAGACUUGAAAUCGUUGAGAAGGAAGCGGUAAAAGAGAGAUUAAUUUCUUUUGUAUUAUGCGAGCAAUUUUCAACUUAAUUUCUAAAGUACUUCAUAGGCUUGGGGGUGAAAGAUUGAGAUUGUGCGACAUUUAACAGAGGAAGUGGCAGGGUGAGGUUACGAAUGUGGAAUAAUUCCUUAGAAUCCGAUCAAAAGAUCUAGGAGAAUAAACACAAUUGAAACCUGAGGGGUCUUAGGACGACCUUGUCAAAAUGGCUUUUACCGACCCGUCUUGAAACACGGACCAAGGAGUCUAUCACAUAUGCGAGUGUUAGGGUGGAAAAACCCGAACGCGUAACGAAAGUGAGUAUAAGAUGCCAAUAACAAUGCAGCAUCGAUCGACCAUGAUCCCUCGGGUGAAAGGUUCGAGUAAGAGCAUAUUUGAUAGGACCCGAAAGAUGGUGAACUACGCUUGAGUAGGGUGAAGCCAGGGGAAACUCUGGUGGAAGCUCGAAGCAUUACUGAC
rnacentral:rRNA from 1 species